rnacentral:rRNA from 1 species
UACGUAGGGGGCAAGCGUUGUCCGGAAUCAUUGGGCGUAAAGAGCGCGCAGGCGGUCGUUCAAGUCGCGUGUGAAAGCCCCCGGCUCAACUGGGGAGGGUCACGCGAUACUGAUCGACUCGAAGGCAGGAGAGGGUAGUGGAAUUCCCGGUGUAGUGGUGAAAUGCGUAGAUAUCGGGAGGAACACCAGUGGCGAAGGCGACUACCUGGCCUGUUUCUUGACGCUGAGGCGCGAAAGCUAGGGGAGCAAACGGG